GGCUGGACCUCUCGGGGUUACAGCCUUGCUGAAUUAUUCACCCUUGUCUUUUGCGUACUUCUUGUUUCCUUGGUGGGUUCGCCCACCACUAGGACAAACAUAAACCUUUUGUAAUUGCAAUCAGCGUCAGUAACAAAUUAAUAAUUACAACUUUCAACAACGGAUCUCUUGGUUCUGGCAUCGAUGAAGAACGCAGCA
rnacentral:misc_RNA from 2 species